rnacentral:rRNA from 1 species
AGAGUUUGAUCCUGGCUCAGGACGAACGCUGGCGGCGCGCCUAACACAUGCAAGUCGAACGGAGCUGAGAGGAGCUUGCUUUUCUUAGCUUAGUGGCGAACGGGUGAGUAACGCGUGAGUAACCUGCCCUGGAGUGGGGGACAACAGUUGGAAACGACUGCUAAUACCGCAUAAGCCCACGGUGCUGCAUGGCACAGCGGGAAAAGGAUUUAUUCGCUCUAGGAUGGACUCGCGUCCAAUUAGCUAGUUGGUGAGGUAACGGCCACCAAGGCGACGAUUGGUAGCCGGACUGAGAGGUUGAACGGCCACAUUGGGACUGAGACACGGCCCAGACUCCUACGGGAGGCA